ensembl:snRNA U2 U2 spliceosomal RNA
AUCGCUUCCUGGCCUUUUGGCUAAGAUCAAGUGUAGUAUCUCUUCUUAUCAGUUUAAUAUCUGAUGCGUCCAAAAAAAAAAUUUUUUUUUUAAAAAGUGAUCAACUUUA